CACACCUACCUGUAACUCUUCAUAGGUGUGUAACUACACUGGUAGAUGAAUGUGACUCUCAGUUUUAGAACAUGACUAUUAUUGGACACAGUCUGCUCAGCUUUUUGGUAUUUGUGCUCUGGAUAAAAGGUCUGACUGAUGGAAGUGAUGUUGAACAGACACCCAUACUGUGGGAAAGGGAAGGUCAAAGUGCAACAAUGCAGUGUAAUCAUACAAAGGGUGCUAAUUAUCGUUAUAUGUACUGGUUCAGGCAGCUGCCUGGAGAAACCAUGACACUAAUUGUGUUUGCAACAACUGGGAAAAAAGAUGAUGAGCACGACUAUGGAACUUUCAAAAAAGAUAGAUUUUCUGCCAAUAAGCCUGUUGUUGAGAAUGGGACGUUCACAGUAAAGGACCUGAAGCCAGAAGACAAAGGAUGGUAUUUCUGUGCUGUGAGCCAACACAGUGAUACAGACACAGCAGAGAGCUGAACAAAAACCUCAGCGCAGUGUUCACUACUGUUAC